GUUGAAACACCGAUCCUCUUACAAUCACCGAAGUGAAGCAGCAUCGAGCCUGAUCAGUACCUAGAUGGGUAACUGCUUGGGAAUAUCAGGUACUGUAA